rnacentral:rRNA from 1 species
GACGUAGGGCGCGAGCGUUGUCCGGAUUUAUUGGGCGUAAAGAGCUCGUAGGCGGCUUGUCGCGUCGACCGUGAAAACUUGGGGCUCAACCCCAAGCCUGCGGUCGAUACGGGCAGGCUAGAGUUCGGUAGGGGAGACUGGAAUUCCUGGUGUAGCGGUGAAAUGCGCAGAUAUCAGGAAGAACACCAAUGGCGAAAGCAGCUCUCUGGGACGGUACUGACGCUGAGACGCGAAAGCGUGGGGAGCGAACAGG